GUUCGAGUAGUGUAGUGGUUAUCACGCGUCGUUCACACCACCUUUUAAGGUGAACAAAGGUUGAACAAAGUCCCGACGAGGUCCCCGGUUCGAUCCCGGGCUCGAACA